UAAAUGCAAACGUUAGUGGACAUAAUAAUAAAAAGAUAAAACAAUGGGGGUAAAUACAUAAAUCUCCAAAAGAUUAGAGGUUUGAAAAUGGUUGUUUGCCCGUUCCAAUAAUAUUCCUCUCCCGAGCCCCUAUUCCGAGUGAGUCCAUACGGCGGAGUAGAUAGUGAGAUUGGAGAGGAUGACCAGAGGGAAGCAGAAGAUCGAAGCUCAGAGGAGAAAUGCAGAGAGGAAUCAGAAGCCAAAAGGCUCUCAGCUGGAGGCUAGAGCUGUCGCCCUCAAAGUGAGCUGCCCCAUCUGCAAGGUGCUGCUAGCAAAUGGUAAUCAGCUUGGUGAUCAUUAUGCCUCCAAACAUCCAAAAGAAAAGCCUCCUGAAUCAAGUUGAUCUAUUUCUCUCUUGUAAAAAUGCGAAAAUAAUAAAAAUAAAAAGAAAGAAAAAGCUUUCCGUGUGUGAUCAUUAACCAUUAAAUGUAUGUCAACUGAUGGAUGUGACUAUUUCAUUAUCUGGACUAAGUAAUUGACUAUGCAUUGUAUGGUUUUCCUCUGGA